CUUACUUUUUUAUAGCACCUCCUCAUAUCCCUGUUAUAGAUUUAACUGUAUCAUGUCUUUGUAAUACUACCUUUCAGUAACACAUGGCUCUUUGGAGGGCUAUGUUUUUGUUGGUUUUUCUACUAGCUGUCAAGGUGCAGUAUGUUAGUUGCCCUGGUGACACAUGGCAUAGGACAGCUACCCUGGCUUCUCAUUUGGACACGAGUGCUCCUGCGCCACAGCCCGACAGGAGUGACAUCUGUGGCAACCACACUGUUUCCUGCAAACCUGCUGAAUCUAGUGCUGCUAAGGCUAUUGUCGAUUUCAACUCAGCCGUAUCUUCCUUCUUCAUUGUACCUAUGAUACGAGUGUUGAGGUUAGAGCAUAACAGCCGUACUGAGUCAGAUACACAAUUUUGGUGGUACCUUUGCUGUGGCUCUAGUGGUUAAUCAUAUGGGUAUAUUACUUCUGUGACUGUUCCUCAUUCCAUCAAGCAGCGAUCUUUCCAAUAUAUAUGCUGUCAAUAUUGGGGGCAAUUGUCCAUCUCAUCCUUUUACUUCUUGCUACAUAUUUGACCUUUGGUGUGCGGGAUAAGAGACCAAUUCCACUGGUUUUAGUACCAGGAUCAUCCUUCAUCAUUGCUAGUCUGUUGUGGGUGUCUGGACUGGAUUGGAUUGGAUGGUUGGGCUUCUCAUUGACUGCCCUUUCACAUUGCUUCCGGCUCGGAGCUACGGUACGAUUUAACCUUUUUUAGUUUUAAAUUCAGAUUAUUAAUUUAUAAUUAAUCUAUUUACAGUCCCCAUACUAUGAUCUUCCUUUGUAAUUUAGUUUUCUAGAAAUAUGAAAUGAAACAUUACAAUGAGAGCAUAGGUCGGUUGGCUGAUGUUCUGGUGGUGGUUCGGUGCCCACAGUUUUGGAAUAGUGUAUGCACAUGUAGAGCACAUGUAGGAUUAAAUCCUAAGAGGA